rnacentral:tRNA from 1 species
UCCCUGGUGGCUCAGAUGGUAAAGCGUCUGCCUGCAGGGCAGAUCUAACCAGGGAGACCCAGGUUCAAUCCCUGGGUGGGGAA